UACAAAGCCGAACCGUUCUUUCAAAAGCAAGGUUUGGCCCGUUUUGGAAGCCAGGCUUUUGAGAAACUAGGUUUAGUCGGGAGUCCUGAGAAGGCGGUUUCAGAGAGAUGAAACGACUGAUCUUCCAGAGCUAGGAAAGCCUAUCUGGGGGCAUGUCAUGUUGCCCAAGGACAUAGCCAAGCUGGUCCCUAAAACGCAUUUGAUGUCUGAAUCUGAAUGGAGAAAUCUUGGCGUUCAGCAGAGUCAGGGAUGGGUCCAUUAUAUGAUCCAUGAACCAGAUUUCACUAAUUCUUUCAGAACCUCACAUCUUACUCUUCCGGCGGCCACUACCCAAGAAGCCAAAGAAAUGAAGCUGUUGACCCACCUUUCAGCCUCAAGCUUUACACAGCUGUCCUUCCUACACCUUCUGAUAGCAUGAUUAUGUUGCUUUCUUAUUUCUCACUUUGAUAUUUAAAGGAUGUUUGUUCAAAACACUGUUUGAAUGUGUUGGUACCUGCUUUGCUUCUUGAGCUGAGCCACCAAUGCCACAACCUGUCAGAUGAGUGUGACCUCAAAGACCUAGUGUGCUCUUUAUCCAGCAGGCAUAUCCAUACUUGCCAUCUCUGGGAAGCAUGUGAAAAUCAGAUCAUGGCUGUUACAGGGAUAGUGUGAAUUUGCUGUUGUAGUUUUUACUAUUGGGUAUUGUAUUUAUGGUGACUUACCGAUUUAUGUUUCAAUAUAUUGGAAACUUUCCAUUUUAUAUGACAAAUCUCUUCUAUGUUACAAGCCUUGAUUAAAGGAAGUUUUUAUAA